rnacentral:lncRNA from 10 species
ACUCCGCUAGCUCUCUGGGCAGUGGGGAGCUGGGAAGUCCUUCAGUUUACUCCUCUGUGGCCCGGGAGCACCCAUAAAUAAGAGGAAGCUUUGGAACACAGUACAUUUCCUCCACCCAUCCUGCCUUUCAUUUGUUAGCGCUCUUGGCUACAGAGUUUCAUACACCGUGCCUCCUUUCCUCCUUCCUCUCUUUGUCCCCGUCCUGCUGUUUCUUCCUUCUGGACUUUGAACAUAGACCUCUACUGGUAACUGGCUCCAACCUCCUUCUCUCAUCUGCUGUUUUUUCCUUCCAGGAAAAGUGGUGCGCCCCCUGUGCCCCCGUUACCUUGUGCUUUCCUGCCUGGACAUCUGCUCCCUUUGCCUGAAAUGUCCUCCUUUGCCGCCUCUGCCUACUCCCCCUCCCACCCCACAUCUGGGCCUUAUUUUAGCUUCAUAGACUCUCAGGGCCUGAAGUUCAGCUAGCCUAAUUGCAUGUUCAUUGACACAAUUCUACAAGGAAGUCGUGUAUGAACUUACAUGAAGACUCCUAAGAAGCGUCUUAAUGCGGAAAACAUUUAUUGAGAACGUGCUGUGUGCCAGGCACAUAGUGAAACCCACAUGAAAAGGUAGUCCCCGUCCUCAUGGAGUGCACUGCCUAGGCUAGCAGAGGAGUGAGGAAGGGUCAAAUGGCCCCAUAGGAAAGGAUCUAGCAAAGCACUCUGGAGGGUGAUUGGCAGUGUGGUUACUACUGUUUGCAUAGAAGUUUGGGAAAUGCUCUUUUUAGGGGUAUUUUUUGUACUACCCUCAGGGCUUGUGGUUGGCAAAGGAAUUUCUAUGGCUUAGCUCAUCCCUGACUCACAGCAGACGUCCUGGGAGUGUCUGUGGAAACUCUGAGGGGCCAAGUAAACAGUCCUGGUGGCCUGACUUGAUUUAAAGAGAGGGUUUGGAGGACCUGGAAGAAGGAGACCCUCGCAAUCUCUAUCAAGCUAAAGUGGUCUGGAACUUUCAACAGGAACUGAACAGCUGGUGGUUCCAGACCAAAAUUUCUAGCAAAGGCCAGGACCACUAUGGCAUGUUGUUGAUUGAAGUGAAAACUAUGUCCUUCAAAACCUCAGGUGUGUGAGUGACAAAAAGAUUGGCAUGUACCUUCAUCUGGACAAAGGCCAUUCUGCAGACAGCCCAGUAAGGAGGGCUACAGGGCUGCCUGUGGUGGGAUCAAGAUUUUCAGCUGAUGGAAGCUUUGGUUGGAUGCAACCAUUCUGCCUCAUUAUAGCUGUAACAAAUGUGGCUCUUUGAUCCUUACAACAAGAGAUUCUUACAAAAUGAUCAUGGUCUUUUUGUGGAUAGGGAAGCUGAAGCCAAAGGAGGACACGAACGGCUCCAGCUCUCAGAAUGUUUGUAUUAAUCAUUAAUGCCAACAAUCUGGUUUGCUUGUUAAUAGACUCAUGGUAGAAGUGCAUUUUCUUGUCCCCUUGAAGUCGGGAGUGGCAUUGGAUGUGCUUGGGUCAGUGAAAUGUGUAAAGUAACAUGCAUUGCUUCAAGCAGAAGCAUUUCAUUUCCAGUUUAGACUCUUUCCCAUACUCUUUCGUCUUGGUAGUGAUUACUGAUCAUGACGAUGAAAGCAUAUAUCAAAACGAACCUUGUGUCAGCAUUAGUCCCUGAGUUAGCAUAAUAAGCUUAACCCCCCUGCUAACCCAUACAGAACAGGUACCCUCUGUUGAAUUAAACUGUGAGAUUCAAGGGGUAUUUGUUCCUGUGACAUAACAUAGACUGUUCCGGCUAAUGGAAAGAUGAAAUUCAAGUCCACAACACCAACAUUACCAUCCAGGAGCUCUGUCAUCUUAGGCAAAUGACCUAAUCUCUCUGGACCUUAUUUUCUGUCAAAUGGUGCUAAUGAUAGCACCUACCUUCCAAGAUUAUAGAAGGAAUAAAUGAGUAAAUUUAUGUGCAAUGUUUAGAACAGUUUCUGGUGCAUAGUAAACACUCAUGUUGAUGUUGAUGCUGCUACUACAAUUCUGACUCCAG